UAAACGUUAGUUUUACUUCUCUCUCUCUCUCUCUCUCUCUCUCUUCCCAUUCCGAUAUAAACUCCAUAGCUUCAUAUCUGGCUCUUUUGUUUAUUGAUUGGAGCUGUUAAUCUCUCCCCCUAAACUUUUAGUACAAUACAGUUUACCAUAUUGGGUUCCUCUUGAUUCCAUUGAUUUCUAUUGUAAGAACAUUAUUGAUGGUGCGAGUAGAUUUUUGUUUGGUAAAUUGAAACACAAGCUGUUCUUCUAUUCGGUAAGACGCAAAUGGCCAAGGAUAUAUUUUCAGAUGUUUUUUAUGCAAAAGAAAAUUGAUUUAACACUAGGUUAUUCUAAAUUCUCUAAAUGUACUAUAUCAUGGAGAAAUAAAUGCACCUGUUGGUUAUUGCUGCUUGUUGGUUUUUAUUUAUUUAUUUCUUGGUUUGUUUCAAUUUUGUUAUGGAGCACAACCAGCAUGAUAUAAAUCACCUUUUCUCAACACUAAAUUAUUGUUUUUUUAAGGAUAUUUCAGUAUACCAUCUUCAAAUUUCCUUAGAUGUUUGAAAGAAACACUGUAAGUUUCUAUUUUCUUUAGGUCUUGAUGCUAAUAGUUUUUUUUAUUGAAGUUACUGAUUAUUGCAAAAAAUAAAGAUAAUGAGUUCAUUUGCAACAGAGAUCUAUAUCUUCAUGGUGCAAAAUUAUUUUCCUCCUUAGUAGGUUGAUAUCAUUCUUGUUGUAUUCUUGGAACGGUAGGAAGUAAUAUUGUCUCGGUUUGUUCAUUUUUAAUCGAUUGCUACUUUUGGUUUCCUCUUUCAAUAAGAAUUGACUAGAAUGAGGUGCGGUUUUUCUUUGUUGGAUUGAUUCAGUCGUUAAGGGCGAUGUGGAUUCUAAGUGAACUAGGAUAAUAAUAAUUACUUAUUGUAAAUGGGAGACUGCAAUCCACGUCCAAUUGUCCAUAAAAGAAAGCUGUAAUCUAUUUUUCUGCAUAGGAGAAACUGUUGAAGUUGGUGUCCUUCAUUUGAUGUGUUUCUUGUUGAAUUUUAAAUACUUUAAAACUAUAUAGUGGAUGGCCUGUAUUAAAGUCCCAUGUGUGCAGGCAUGGUGGUGGACGAGGCAGGGCUCUCUCAAUUUGGGUGCUAUGUUUCUCUUUGAUUUUCCACACUAACUAAUUUUUUUGAACCAUUCCUAUGUACAUCUUCACCGCCAUACCGACAACUUCCAUUGUUUUAUCUAGUUGUAACUCUGUGGGCUACUGGCUAGGAUUUGCUAUCCUCUUAAGCACAUGUCCCUGCAAUGGAGAUCCAAUGUGUUGAACGACCAUCUCAGGCAUUUAUGGCAAGUACUAGAAAAGAAAAAAAAAGUUAUAAUGAGUAAAUGCACUCAAAAGGUAAUUUUUACUAAUUUUAUGCAUAGACAUAGAUAUAUAUAGAUACACACAUGCGCACACACACACGAACUCUGCCAUAGCUGGUCCCAACCCGGUUGUGCUGGUCCCAAGCCCAGAGAAAGGAGGGUUGUGUGAGGUGGGCAGCUGGCAUAAAACUUAUUUAAGGAGUAUGUUCGUUAGUUGGUAUAAGCCUUGGAUGAUGAUGAUAAUGAUGAUGAUGAUAUAUAAACACAAUAGCUUGUUUAAGAAGUAUGUCCCUUGCUAAGCUGACUGAUUUUUUAAAUUUUGAUGAAACCAAACAUUGUAAUUGAUCAUUAGAAUAAAACCUUGUACAAUAUUGAUUUCAUUUUAUUUUUUUAAAAUUUCUUGGUGGAAUUAAGCCUAUUUAAAAUUUGGAAGAAUAUUGUAUUUGAUCAUUCUCUUAACAGAUUGCAUUUCCUUUGUUGCAAUCACUUAUUCCUUUUGUGAAAGCAUUCCUUAUAUAUGAAAUUGCAUCAAUUUGGUGGCUGUUCAUAUCAUCACAUGAUAUGCAGUUGAAGUCAGUGCAAAUCUCGAUGUCACUAAACAGAUUUGUUAUUUGUUCUAAAAAUCGAUGUGUAUUUAGCAAGAGGCGAAUUAGGAUGACACCAGAGUUUAGUUUUUUCAUAGUGAAUGGCAUGGUUAAUGAGUUUAUGGCUGGUGAUAGAGCACAUCAAGAAAUCAAAGAGAUGUGUUUAAUGUUAGAAGAGUUAGCCCAGCAAAGUUUAGUUGUCACCUCUGUGUGUGUGUGUGUGUGUGUGUGAGAGAGAGAGAGAGAGAGAGAGAGAGAGAUGUGCCAUUCUUUCCUUCUAACAGUCAGAAUGGGUUUAUAGUGAAUCAUUUAAGUUACAUUUGUUGCUUACUGGUUUUACAUUUGUUGCUUACUGGUUUUGAUAUGUUUCCCUUGUUUUUCUUUUACAGGUUUGGACAAUGAACCCAUUGUGCACAUGCUAACUAUUUCUUGGGGCUGUUUGUAGCAAUUAGGUAACAGACAUUUGUUGAUCUAGUCCAGGAAUGGACGGCAUUAUGCACUCAUGUGCAAUUAGAAGUGGGCUGGGAAACUCUGUGGCUUAUGUCAAAAGGUUUUUGGUGAUAAGAUUGUAGCAUUAUGGCUGAUGGACAAAGUAAUGGUGACGAGCAUUGAUAAUGGACGGCAUUUGGACAAGUGCACAAAUUGAAGUUCCCUGGAAAACUCGCUUAUUCCAAAAGUAAUGAUUAGCUCUUUUUGGCGAUAAGAUUGUAGCAUUUUGGCUCAUGGACAAGGUUAUCACUUAUCAUUAUAUAAUAUUGUAGCAUUUUGGCUCAUGGACAAGGUUAUCACUUAUCAUUAUAUAAUAUUCCUUUCUCAUUCAAAUAGUCGGAUACAUAUGCUGUUAUAAAAUUUUCAUACUGCAUUUUAAACAUCCAGUCUUUCUUUAUGGAGAAUUCAUACAUGUGAUUUUUACAUUCAAGUGUAUCAUUGGUGUUAUUGCUAUCAGGUUGCCCUUGUUAACAGGUUGAUUGAUUUUGAGGUACUAAGAAGCUUUCGUGGGGGAGUGCUAUAUUGCCUUUACUUUCAGGAGAUCACGUGAACCGAUUAUGCUUGAGGUGUGUCAUAACUUGGCUGUGAAUUGGAUCCUAAACUGCAUUAUUCUCAGUCUAGAAAGUGGUACAGUUCCAAAGUGGCAUUGAGCUUUGCAUAAUGAAUUGGGGUUUUCAUGGAUAGUUUCGGUCUUGAAUUGGGUCGUCAUAGAAUCAUGAAUAAAAUGGAUGCCAACUGAGAUCGAGCUCUAAUCAGAAUAAUCAAUCAAUGCAAUAUGACCCAAGCAGGGGGAGCUGUGAGUUUUGUUUGAUAUUUUUGUAUUGUAAUUUACCAGACGACGAAGAGCCAGAUUCAAGUAUGUUCCAAGGCUUCCAAUGUUUUUGUUCUUUUGUUGUUUUCUUCCAUAUGUUUCAUUGGUGCGGAUUAAUGCCUUGUAUUGGACAAAUUUGAUGGGCAUGAAAAUGCCAAGUGAUGGAUACUUUGUGCUAUCUGAACGGUGGAUGGUUAGUUGGUUUGAA